rfam:Faecalibacterium prausnitzii SL3/3 draft genome.
ACAUAAAAACAGGGGCGCCAUAAGGCUGAGAUCCGCAUAGCGCGGAGUACCCUUUACCUGAUCCGGGCAAUGCCGGCGUAGGGAGUUUGCGGAACCGUCCG